UCCAGCUUAUCGCUGGCGGUCUCCUGCGAGUUCCCAACUGAAUGAUGGCAACACAGGACAAGGGUUGCGCUCGUUGCGGGACUUAACCCAACAUCUCACGACACGAGCUGACGACAGCCAUGCAGCACCUCGACUCCCGUCCCUUGCGGGAAAUCCCUGUUUCCAAGGACGUUCGUGAGCCGUUCGAGCCCAGGUAAGGUUCUUCGCGUUGCGUCGAAUUGAACCACAUGCUCCACCGCUUGUGCGGGCCCCCGUCAAUUCCUUUGAGUUUCAGCCUUGCGACUGUACUCCCCAGGCGGCAUAUUUAACGCGUUAGCUCCGGCACAGACAGAAUGAACUGCCUACACCAAAUAUGCAUCGUUUAGGGCGUGGACUAC
rnacentral:misc_RNA from 1 species